rnacentral:rRNA from 1 species
GGCGAUAACGAACGAGACCUUAACCUGCUAAAUAGCCCGUAUUGCUUUGGCAGUACGCUGGCUUCUUAGAGGGACUAUCGGCUCAAGCCGAUGGAAGUUUGAGGCAAUAACAGGUCUGUGAUGCCCUUAGAUAUUCUGGGCCGCACGCGCGCUACACUGACAGAGCCAACGAGUUCAUCACCUUGGCCGGAAGGUCUGGGUAAUCUUGUUAAACUCUGUCGUGCUGGGGAUAGAGCAUUGCAAUUAUUGCUCUUCAACGAGGAAUGCCUAGUAAGCGCGUAUCAUCAGUACGCGUUGAUUACGUCCCUGCCCUUUGUACACACCGCCCGUCGCUAGUACCGAUUGAAUGGCUA